GCCAGACUCCUACGGGAGGCAGCAGUGGGGGAUAUUGCACAAUGGGGGGAACCCUGAUGCAGCGACGCCGCGUGGGUGAAGAAGUAUUUCGGUAUGUAAAGCCCUAUCGGCAGGGAAGAAAUUGGACGGUACCUGACUAAGAAGCCCCGGCUAACUACGUGCCAGCAGCCGCGGUAAUACGUAGGGGGCAAGCGUUAUCCGGAUUCACUGGGUGUAAAGGGAGCGUAGACGGCCAUGCAAGCCUGGAGUGAAAGCCCGGGGCCCAACCCCGGGACUGCUCUGGGAACUGUGCGGCUGGAGUGCAGGAGGGGCAGGCGGAAUUCCUGGUGUAGCGGUGAAAUGCGUAGAUAUCAGGAGGAACACCGGCGGCGAAGGCGGCCUGCUGGACCGCGACUGACGUUGAGGCUCGAAAGCGUGGGGAGCAAACAGGAUUAGAUACCCCAGUA
rnacentral:rRNA from 1 species